rnacentral:rRNA from 1 species
GACGAACGCUGGCGGCGUGCCUAAUACAUGCAAGUCGAACGAACCGCGACUAAGUGCUUGCACUAAGUCAAGGUGAGUGGCGAACGGGUGAGUAACACGUGGGUAACCUACCUCAUAGUGGGGGAUAACAGUCGGAAACGACUGCUAAUACCGCAUAGGACAUAGGAUCACAUGAUCCAGUGAGGAAAGGUGGCGCAAGCUAUCGCUAAGAGAUGGACCCGCGGGGCAGUAGCUAGUUUGUAGGGUAAAGGGCUACCAAGGCGAUGAUGCAUAGCCGACCUGAGAGGGUGAUCGGCCACAUUGGGACUGAGACACGGCCCGAACUCCUACGGGAGGCAGCAGUAGGGAAUCUUCCGCAAUGGACGCAAGUCUGACGGAGCAACGCCGCGUGAGUGAAGAAGGUCUUCGGAUCGUAAAGCUCUGUUGUUAGAGAAGAACAGCGCAUAGAGUAACUGCUAUGCGUGUGACGGUAACUAACCAGAAAGCCACGGCUAACUACGUG